rnacentral:rRNA from 1 species
AUUGAACGCUGGCGGCAGGCCUAACACAUGCAAGUCGAGCGGAUGAAGGGAGCUUGCUCCUGGAUUCAGCGGCGGACGGGUGAGUAAUGCCUAGGAAUCUGCCUGGUAGUGGGGGAUAACGUCCGGAAACGGGCGCUAAUACCGCAUACGUCCUGAGGGAGAAAGUGGGGGAUCUUCGGACCUCACGCUAUCAGAUGAGCCUAGGUCGGAUUAGCUAGUUGGUGGGGUAAAGGCCUACCAAGGCGACGAUCCGUAACUGGUCUGAGAGGAUGAUCAGUCACACUGGAACUGAGACACGGUCCAGACUCCUACGGGAGGCAGCAGUGGGGAAUAUUGGACAAAGGGCGAAAGCCUGAUCCAGCCAUGCCGCGUGUGUGAAGAAGGUCUUCGGAUUGUAAAGCACUUUUAGUUGGGAGGAAGAGCAGUAAGUUAAUACCUUGCUGUUUUGACGUUACCAACAGAAUAAGCACCGGCUAACUUCGUG